rnacentral:lncRNA from 1 species
UAUAUUAGAAUGGAAUUAGAGAAAGAAAACAAUCUUCAUCAAUUGUUUUCAAGGUGCACAUAUUCUGGCUUUUAGAAAUAGAGGAUGACAUGUGUUAUUAGAGGGUUGAUAUUUGAAUUCCGAAUUUCUUAUUUUUUUAAUUUAAAGUGUCAGUUUAGCAACUAAAUUAAUGAAAAAAAAAAAAGAAGACUCUGUUGAAAAAAUAAUAAUCAUGAUUAAGUAAAAUAAUAGAGUGGAAGCAAGCAAGCUAAUUACUAAUUAAUAGUAAUAAGUAGAUUUUUACUAAUAAAACAGUACCAUAUGAUUUAUGAGAAGGCAAUGAAUUAUUUUCUACCCCAUUUUGGAAGCUUUUGAUCAUUACAUAUUUCCAACAAAUUGAUUUCACCUUUUGAUAAAGGUACUUUUAUUUUAUUUUUUCACUGAAAUCAAUCCUUUUGAGAAUAUAUAACAGCUAAUUAACUUAAGUAACAUGACAUUUCUAGUUUUCUGGCCACACUAGAGUUGUUUUAUGUUGGUAUUGGCUUCAUGGUCACGCAGCAUAGUGUGGUGGCAUGGCCCUUAUUCAAUUACACUUUGAAAUAUUAAACAUGUUUUUAUAAACUUCAAGUUAGAAUCCUAUGCAAUGGUGGUUGUUUUAAGCAUGUCUUUAAUUCAACUUUACGCCUCAAACCGUGAGUAAAAGAGUUGAGAAUAUCUUCGUUUUAAGCAUGUCUUUAAUUCAACUUUACGCCUCAAACCGUGAGUAAAAGAGUUGAGAAUAUCUUCAUUUCUUAAAAGAAAUAACAUAUCCGUCAAUAUGAAAGCGACGUUAACACGUUAUGUUAUAAAGAGAGAUUUUAAAUUAUUUUAAGCUUUUUUGUCGCCUCUCUUAUAUAAAAGAUUUGAAAAAUAUAGAGGAUCUUAACUUGUUCAAACUGAAAUUUGAUGUUGCCAAUUAAAGCAUGCAAUUAAGACGAUCAACAUCCGAUUGCGCGAAUGUGGACUCUAGUAAAUGAGUCAUAAUUAUGACCAUACAACAAACAACUGAAAAUAUGGUUCACUAUUUUACACUUCUUGCAUUUAAAGGUUGUCCAUGUUGCAAAAAAUUAUCAAAAUCAUUAAAGUGAAUUAGUGGUCCUUCAUGCCCCAUCCAAGGAUGAAUGGCUGUCCACACCAAAUGUACAAAAUAAACAACUAAAGAUUCUCAUUUUGCUUGAAACAUAAAAUACAAAACAGUUUCGUAAGAGUAAUUCAGUUGGUAGCUAUAUUAUUAAUAUUAUUGAAGGAGUCGAAGUUUGAACCUCGAAUUUUUCACUUAUCUACACUAAUAGUAUAAUGUGAAAGUCUAAUCACUAAACUACUGGAAGAAGAAAAAACACAAGCCAAAUAAUGAAUAUGCUGUAAAAUAUCACUACUCAACAAAUUAAACAAAAGAACAAUAUUUUAUUGGUGCCAAUUCAUAAAGAAACCUACAAAGCAAACACAAUACUUUUGAUGGAAUCUCACUUUGCCAAAGUAUCUUAUAAAUUUUUUCCAAAUGUGCAUCCUCCUACAAUUGUAGAAAUGAGCGGAACAAGAUUUUGUGGAAAACCCAUUCACAUUCUCCACUUACCUUGCACAUAGGGGAGGAGCUAUAGGACUUUUGAGGGUUCAAGUGAGCCCCCUAAAUUUUGAAAAAACUGAGAAUAUGUUUCUAUAUAUUUUUUUGUAUACUGAAUUUCUAAUUAUUUUUUUUCUUUUCUUUUUGCACUAUAAAUUCAAAACAAAAAAAAAAGUUCAAAAACUCAAAAGUUUAAACACCCUUGACCAGAGUCCUAGCUCCAACAAUAUAUUGCGUUUCACACCCAUGAGUCAAUGUCUUCCCGCAAUAGAAUAUAAUAGACACACUAAUAGCACUAAUUGAGACACAACUCUUCCUCCCAAACGAAAAAGGAACGCCUCGUUUCUAUGUCUGUCUGCCCUUGCAAAAUUGACCCUAAUAUUGACAACCAAAUGUUGGAACAAAAUUGGUUCUAAAGCCUCAAGUUUUAAAUCCAUAAAGUUUUGAUGAUAACAAUAAGUAUUAAAUGUACAAUUGGUAGUACUAAUUUUUU